rnacentral:rRNA from 1 species
AUUGAACGCUGGCGGCAGGCUUAACACAUGCAAGUCGAGCGGGGAAGGGUAGCUUGCUACCUGACCUAGCGGCGGACGGGUGAGUAAUGCUUAGGAAUCUGCCUAUUAGUGGGGGGCAACAUUCCGAAAGGAAUGCUAAUACCGCAUACGCCCUACGGGGGAAAGCAGGGGAUCUUCGGACCUUGCGCUAAUAGAUGAGCCUAAGUCAGAUUAGCUAGUUGGUGGGGUAAAGGCCUACCAAGGCGACGAUCUGUAGCGGGUCUGAGAGGAUGAUCCGCCACACUGGGACGGAGACACGGCCCAGACUCCUACGGGAGGCAGCAGUGGGGAAUAUUGGACAAUGGGGGGAACCCUGAUCCAGCCAUGCCGCGUGUGUGAAGAAGGCCUUAUGGUUGUAAAGCACUUUAAGCGAGGAGGAGGCUACUGAGACUAAUACUCUUGGAUAGUGGACGUUACUCGCAGAAUAAGCACCGGCUAACUCUGUGCCAGCCGCCGCCGUAAGAC